rnacentral:tRNA from 1 species
AGAGAAAUAGCUCAGUGGCAGAGCCCACACUUAGCAUGCAGGAGGUCCUGGGUUCAAUCCCCAGUACCUCCA